rnacentral:rRNA from 1 species
CCUACGGGCGGCAGCAGUGGGGAAUAUUGCGCAAUGGGCGAAAGCCUGACGCAGCGACGCCGCGUGAGGGAUGAAGGUCUUCGGAUCGUAAACCUCCGUCAGCAGGGAAGAACGGUCACUGUGCUAAUCAGCAGUGAAUUGACGGUACCUGCAAAGGAAGCACCGGCUAACUCCGUGCCAGCAGCCGCGGUAAUACGGAGGGUGCGAGCGUUUAUCGGAAUUACUGGGCGUAAAGCGCUCGUAGGCGGUAUGUCAAGUCAAGGGGGAAAUCCCCGCGCUCAACGUGGGAACUGCCUUGGAAACUGGGAAACUGGAGUGUGUGGGAGGAUAGUGGAAUUCGAGGUGUAGGAGUGAAAUCCGUAGAUAUCUGGAGGAACAUCAGUGGCGAGGGCGACUAUCUGGCACAUAACUGACGCUGAGGAGCGAAAGCGUGGGUAGCAAACAGGAUUAGAUACCCGUGUAGUC